UACGAAGGGGGCUAGCGUUGCUCGGAAUCACUGGGCGUAAAGCGCACGUAGGCGGGUUCUUAAGUCGGUGGUGAAAUCCUGGAGCUCAACUCCAGAACUGCCUCCGAUACUGAGAGCCUCGAGUCCGGGAGAGGUGAGUGGAACUGCGAGUGUAGAGGUGAAAUUCGUAGAUAUUCGCAAGAACACCAGUGGCGAAGGCGGCUCACUGGCCCGGUACUGACGCUGAGGUACGAAAGCGUGGGGAGCAAACAGG
rnacentral:rRNA from 1 species